CCUUAGAUAGGUAACUGUUGCCAGGAAAAUGCCCUGUGUGGAUUGGCCUGGACUAAGCAGGAUCCUCCUUUAAAGAGAGAGAUGAGAUGAAUGCCUGACCCAAGUCUGGGAUCUUGGGUGGGAAGCGUGUGGAUAGUAGGUCAGAGGUCAGCAGUGUCUGUGGUGUAGGAUGUAAUCCCAUCUCCACAGAGCUGCAUACAAGUGUGUUUAAGUGUGUGCAAGUGAUUAACUUUGAUUAGUAGUUUCAACUCUUUACAAUGAACAUAUUUAUCUUUUUUAAAAAAUAAAGCCAUUUUAAAAGAUCUUGCCAUAAAACAAUCAUUCCUUAAGUCACCACUUAGGAUAGACCUAGAAUAUUUGUCCUUUCUCAAGAGCACCAGAGAGUUUUCUGGUAAUCCACGCAAUAAACAGUUAUAAAAGGUAAUUGUUGAGAUCAGGGGAAGAUGGCAGAUAGGAGGCAGUGCUAAUGUGUAGCUCCCACAUGGAUGGACAAAACACCAUGUGGAGACUCACACUGUGACCCUGUUGUGCUCCAAGAACUAUCAUAGGAACAUACUGGGAAAACCAAAAGAAUUCACGGAUCCUUUGAAAGAAGACGCACACCACUGUAAAUUCUGUGGAACAGGAGAAAAACUGUCUUGGAGGAAGGCAUCCUUCUAUUCUACUGAUCAGAAAGCUGGACAAAGUCCCACUGCCAGGCUACACAGUUGGUGCCAUUUGCGGAGGCCCACCCGCAGCGGUCACGUGAAGGACCGAGCGCCGCGCGCCCAGGCGGGGCCUCCGGCCUGCACGAGGAGGGCAGAGUCCGUUGCGGCUGCCGCCCCGACGCCCGCGCAUCCCCGCUCGCCGCGCCCGCCGCCGCGAUGUCCGGGGCCGGCCUAGCCGCGGUGGUGAGCUGCCUGCGCCCGCAGCCCGGCGAGGAGCCGCAGACCCAUGAGGACCUUCUCCUGGCAGCUGCCUAUGUUUUGGAUGCCCAGUACAACAGAAAUGUUCCAUUUGAAACUCACCUCAGGCCAUCAGACGUUACUAUUUUUAUAACCACUAGACAACGCAGGUUGCCGCAUACUUCUUUA
rnacentral:lncRNA from 10 species